ACCCUAUAGAGUUUUACAUUUAGUUCUUAUAUUUAUUUGUUGUUUGUUUUUAUUUUAUGGUAGGUUAAAUGUUUUGUUGGGGUGAUGGGAAGAAUUUUUUUAACUCUUCUUUGUUUUUAUAUACUUAUUUGUAUUUUUUUGAUCCAUUUAUUUUGAUUAUAAGAUUAAAUUACCUUAGGGAUAACAGCGUUAUCUUCCUUGAGAGUUCUUAUUGGCAGGGAGGUUUGCGACCUCGAUGUUGGAUUAAGGUGAAUUUUAGGUGCAGAAGCUUAAACGGAUUAGGUCUGUUCGACCUUUAAAACCUUACAUGAUCUGAGUUCAGACCGGCGUGAGCCAGGUUGGUUUCUAUCUAUAAGUUUUUAUUAUACCUUAGUACGAGAGGACCGGGUAU
rnacentral:rRNA from 1 species